UUUAAUGAGAGUUUGAUCCUGGCUCAGGACGAACGCUGGCGGCGGGCCUAACACAUGCAAGUCGAGCGAAGCACCUAGGACAGAUUCCUUCGGGAUGACGUUGUAGGGGACUUAGCGGCGGACGGGUGAGUAACGCGUGAGGAACCUGCCUUCCACAAGGGGAUAGCCUCGGGAAACCGGGAUUAAUACCCUAUGACACUUAUGGGCCGCAUGGUCCUUAGG
rnacentral:rRNA from 1 species